rnacentral:rRNA from 1 species
AUACGUAGGGGGCGAGCGUUGUCCGGAAUGAUUGGGCGUAAAGGGCGCGUAGGCGGCCCGGUAAGUCUGGAGUGAAAGUCCUGUUUUUAAGAUGGGAAUUGCUUUGGAUACUGUCGGGCUUGAGUGCAGGAGAGGUAAGUGGAAUUCCCAGUGUAGCGGUGAAAUGCGUAGAGAUUGGGAGGAACACCAGUGGCGAAGGCGACUCACUGGACUGUAACUGACGCUGAGGCGCGAAAGUGUGGGGAGCAAACAGGAUUAGAUACCCUGGUAGUCCACACUGUAAACGAUGAAUGCUAGGUGUAGGGGGUAUCGACCCCUUCUGUGCCGCAGUCAACACAAUAAGCAUUCCGCCUGGGGAGUACGGCCGCAAGGUUGAAACUCAAAUGAAUUGGCGGGG